rnacentral:rRNA from 1 species
AUGGUGCGGCGCUUGGGGCUCGAGGUCGCGGGGAAGGAACCGUGCAGAGAGGCAGCGCUCGGUGGCGGGGCCGACGUCGAGGAGGAGGUUGGUUGCGGGGCAGCAACGAGCCGAAGGACGGCGGGGACAAGGGAGCUCCUCUCCCUGGCGCGAGGAGGAAGACGAGUGGAGGGGAAAGGGGAUCGAGCCGCGGCUCUCCUGGCGGCGCAAGCAAGGGGAAACGGGAGAGAGCGUGGUGAGGGGCUAGGGUUAGAAGGGAGAGAGUGGGCUGUUGGGCCUAGGAGGCUGCGGGAGGCCUUAGUGGAGGCCGACCUGGGUUGGGUCAAAGAGGCCUAG